GAUCCACCACAAAUACAGGGAGUCCACUCUUCACACGGACAUAGUCUCCCAUAUAUUUGCACGGCGUCGCAUAAGUACAAGAUACAACCACAGCAUAUGAACAUCCAUAUUCAUUCACCAUUCACAUCCACAUUCAUUUCAUCAAAAAUAUCCAUAAAUCCACAUCUAUCAGUUUAAAAUAUUUCCUACCCGGAAACCCAUUUUGAAACACUAAGUCAUGAAAACUAAGAAAACCUUUUAAAAAUUAUUUCCCACACAGAAACCUUUUUCUUUUAAAAACGUGCUACCACGAGGAGUAGAAAACAAUUUUUAUUUCGCAAGAAUCCAUAAAUCUUUUAUUACAUUUACGAAAUCUCAAUUAUUCAAUUAACAUAAAAUACUGAACCAUAAUUACUUUCUAAGUCAUUUAAUAAAAGAAAACGA
rnacentral:lncRNA from 1 species